rnacentral:rRNA from 1 species
GACGAACGCUGGCGGCGUGCUUAACACAUGCAAGUCGAACGAUGAAGCUGGAGCUUGCUCCGGUGGAUUACUGGCGAACGGGUGAGUAACACGUGAGCAAUCUGCCCUUGACUCUGGGAUAACUGCGGGAAACUGUAGCUAAUACCGGAUACGAAACCUGGAGGCAUCUCCGGGUUUGGAAAGAAUUUCGGUCAAGGAUGAUCUCGCGGCCUAUCAGCUAGUUGGUGAGGUAAUGGCUCACCAAGGCGACGACGGGUAGCCGGCCUGAGAGGGUGACCGGCCACACUGGGACUGAGACACGGCCCAGACUCCUACGGGAGGCAGCAGUGGGGAAUAUUGCACAAUGGGCGAAAGCCUGAUGCAGCAACGCCGCGUGAGGGAUGAAGGCCUUCGGGUUGUAAACCUCUUUUACCACGGAAGAAGCGAAAGUGACGGUACCUGCAGAAAAAGCACCGGCUAACUAC